rnacentral:lncRNA from 1 species
CGGGACUCAAGCCCGUGCCACGUUACGUUACGGUGCGUUAGCCUCAAAUGUGUUCCCUGUCAUUUCUCGGUAAAGUGCUGUCCUUCCAUGGAUUCACUCAAGUAUUUGAGCUGAAGUAGAAUAAUCACAAGGAACAUAGUUGUCGGUAUCUGUAGUAGAUCUGCAGCGUAUAAAUCUCAGAAAGAGAGGAAUAGUGUUAUUUUAGUCCAAUACAGCGUAACUGCAUUAUGCAGAGUGGAGCCUUUUUUCUCGCUCGCAAAUAAAAUAAUGGGAGAGAAAUGAGAAGGAAAACAAAAGCGCAGCGAAUUAUUGACUACGAAAAUGAAGAGGAUGAGGAAGAGGAACAAAAACCGGACUGCUUCAGUAACGGUGCACAGAAGCGAAGAAAAAUGUAUUCUUCCAAAGAGAAAGCAGAAGAAAAUAGCUCAUCCGACGCCGGGCUUCAGAAGUUAGACAUCAAGGUUAAUGAGCUGGAUUGUUCUUCCGCAGACCUCUACACUGACAGUUCUCCUGCUUCUGAGUCUGAGGAGGCUCAUUAUUUACAGACCUAUUCGAAGAAGGAGCUUAUUGCCAUGGUCUUAUGCAUGCAGAGGGAAAUGGAGGACUUGAAGGAACAACUUAGGUGCCUUACAGGUCAGUAUUGUUUGAUUGUUAGGUGUUUUGAUUUAUUGAAUUGCAUAAAUCAAAUCUUCACAUUUGAUGUACUCACUACAGCAUGUGGAAAGCUAGCAAGAAACCUGGAAAUGCUGAUCGAGAAGACCCAGAUGUGGUCAAAUGGGAACAAUGGGACCUCUCUCGGGACCCCAGAUUCUGCCGAGGCAGAUGCUGUGAUACCAGAUGUGCGUUCUCCUCCAGCCAUUGUGAAUGGGCAAUGGCUGAAUCAGGGUCCAGGACCACAGAAACCUCACAAGGCCACUCAGAAUGCUCAAAAGGACGGGCUCUUCACAGAGUUUAUCACUCCUGAACUUUUGGAGAGGUGUAACACAGGCACCACUGCCCAAAAACUGACCAACGACCUGCUCCGUGGACUCUAUGAGAGGGAAUGCCUGGCUUCCCACUCUAUAUCUGGAGUCGUGUACAACAAGAGAGGCCAACCAAAGCCUGCUCUCCCCACCGAAGAGAUCCAGGCAAUCCUGAGAACCGUUCAGUAUUUCUUUCCUGGCAAGACUGACGCAGAGAUCAAGGGCUACAUCCGACAGAAACUGCAAAACGAAUCCAAGAGGCUGAGGAAGAAACCGUCACUCUCAGGCCAAUAUGAGUCUAGAGGUUUCAAUGUACCGUUAGAUAUGAUCGACCAGAAUUGAAAUGCACAGUUAGUGGAUAUUAAUUGCGUGUAAUCCAUUAAAUUAGCCUUAUUCGGUGUUACUUACAAUUAAAGUCCUGGACUCAAGUGAAAUUGAUGUGCAUUGAUAAUAGUCUUCAAAGAAAGUCACACUGAUCUCUUGCAGCUGCCAUUCGGCGGUUGACGGUUGUGGCGUUUCUGAUGUGAAAAUGCAAAUGAGCGAUUCCAGAUAAGUCCAAAUGUUGCAUUCACGAAAGCCUCUGGCUGCAUCAAGCACAGUCCACGCUUGGAUAUCGAGAUGUUUAGAUAUUAAUGAAUUAAUGAUGUGUCUCUGUGAACGUCUGUUUUUUUUAAUACUUUGUAUUUAACAGAUGUAGGAUUUCAGGACGUACCAUUGUGCGCGGAGCGUAAUAGGGUGUGACCAUUAUUUACAUUGUAUUUUCAAUGUAUUUCUUAUUUGAUGAUGUUAUUUGGUCUAUAUGACAACAGCUUUAUGUAUGUAAUUUUUUGUUAUUAAAUGCUGAAAACGCA